UCCUACACAAAUUAUUUAGUGCAAUAAAGUCAUCUUAAAAGAUACGGAACAUUUUCAUAGUUAUUUGAAAUAUAUAUUUAGGUAAAACUAUCAAAAUCAUUUAUUUACGAAUAUUCACUAUAUCCACAGCGUAAUGCGUUUCAUGUAGAUAUCCAUACCUUAUAUUCUGUCUUGUUGCACGUAUAUGCUCUGUGUGACUAUAUGUUAAAUUGUGUGUGAUUUCACAAAUGCUAGUCUAAUAUAAGACAUACAUAUAUAACAGGAACACAUAAAAGAAAAUUAGGUAAUUAAAAUGUGCAAGCUUAUUUCACGGAGAAAUCGACCAAUACGACAUAUUUUGUGAGAGUUGGGAAAGUCCAAAGCAGUUGUUCCUUAGUACCAUUCGUUUUGGAGUACUUACCGUCAGCAAGCAGUCAACGAAUUUCUGCAGAUCCCUCAUUGCACUUCCAUGUAUUAUAAACCGUCUCCACACUAUUUCACUGAACUUACAUUACGGGCGGUCGAACGUAAACCCGUUUUAUUCGCUAGGUAUAUCUUCUGGUUACCGUAAUGCGUUUAAAACUAAUAUUUGAGGUCUUAUGAACUGCUAAAACGGUCGACACGAUAUUACAAAUUACAGUUUCCAUGCACGAGUCGUAGCCGCAUAGAUCGGCCGUGUCACUUCAUAUUUGCGAAAAAAUUCUGUUUACAUUCGCCCAGAGGGACCAGGAAUAAAUGAUGUACAUUCUAAGUAAAAUACGUGCGAUCAACAGUAGUGCCAACAUGUAAACGAUUCUUUAUGGAAAAUUGGACGACAUAGCAAAAAUAGUUGCACAAAAAUAAUUUAAUUUGACGAUUUAAUAUAAUCUAAUUCGAUGAAAUGUAAUAUUUCUGUAACAUUUUUAAUCAUAAUUUAUAAUUAUUUUGAAAAUAUUAGAACAUAGAAAACAUAAAAAACACAUAUUUUAAAUGUUGGAUGACAUUGGCUGACAUAAGACGUAUAUUCUUGGAAAUAUAAGCAUAGACUCCACUGUUGACCGCAAUCUUCUAAUGGGCGCUGUUUUUAAAUUUAUUAAGAUUUUAAUUAUAUUUUUUUUAGAAUUUGUAUACUUAUAUUUUUAAAAAAUAAAAAUUAUAAUAUAAAGUUA